CACAGGUAGGGCACUUGCACUAAGUCAUGCUUGUGUUGGCUUACUGGCUCCAGAACUGUUCUUUACGUUGAUUAGCAAUUUCACAGCUCUGCAGUGAGCAACGCCCAAUCAUAUAGAUGCAGGUGAAUUACGAUUUGUUCAUACUAACACCGUUUGCUGCCAUAAAGACAGUGCGUCUUAUUUUGGAGUAAAUGAGUAAAUAAUCGCAUUGCGCCGCGUGUGCUGCGUUUUGCGGGUGUCGGUCAGUCUUCAUUUCAUGAUACCGGUGGGAUUGAAGCCACGUUUUCUGUUGCACCCCGUCCACUCUGCCAGGGGCCUACCGGAUUUCAACAUUAUACCUGUCCUGAGGGAUGCCAGUUGAAUGUUGAAGCAGCUUUUGGAUGACAGCAUUGGCAGGAGAAGGCUGUUCAUAGGUCUUCUCCCCGACCAUGACAGCAGCCAGGUUAGCAGUGUAAGUGGACAAACAGAACAGACAGAAGAUGG